CUUUAGUUGAGACCAAACAGUUUUUUAACCACAUCUAGUCAUCCUGUUUCAUCUUAUUUGAUAUCAUUUAAGAAACCAUCAGUAUUGUUUAUUUUCCCUGAUUCACACACAUGCAACGUUAGCCUACAACGUUUUGGUAGGAUCAUAAAGAAUUAUUUCUAUAGGUAGGAUAUUUGUGUUUGUGCCUGGAUCAACAACAACGGAACAAAGAUACUGAUGUGAGCCAGAGGAGCGGUUUUUCCAUUAAGCCGCACGAGACGGUGACGCGCGACGGCAGGAGGAGACAACGUUUACAUUGAUGUGGGAGGGCGAUCGUCCUCCGACACGGGGAGCCCAAAUGAAGGGGACAUGCUGCGCGCUGACGGCUGCAGCCGUUAAGGCAACGGCUCCGUGACCCGGGAGAGGAGAGGAGCGAAGCACCGUCACCGACAACCGGCCAGCCAGCGUUGACACCGCAACAGCUUCAGCAGCCAGCGCGAGCCCCCAGACUCUCUCUUUCCUUUGGUUUGAGGCUGUUGGGGAUGAAGAUUGAGGUUGAAUCAGAGUUGAGGUGGUGUGGAAGAACGAGAGGCUGACGUAACAAUGGGCAAAAGACAGGAGCAGAGGGGAGAGAGAGAGAGAAGUAUUUGAGCUCUCCUCUGCAGUAUUGAUGACCCAAUGA